UUCCACAGGAUUGCAGGUGAAUGAUGUAGAGAUCUGUUAAGUUCAUUUUAAAUCAUAUUCUCUUCAUGACAUUGUGCUGCAGCCUCAGACUGGGAUUAGUCAUUUUAAUUUCUUUUAGGAUUUCCCAGUGUGAUUGGCUGCAUAGAUGCACACACAUCCCCAUCACAGCUCCCUCACAUCAUGAACAGGAAGUCCAUUCACAGCAUAAAUGUGCAGGUAGGCUACAGGUAGACUGACUACUGUUUCUAAAUGUUAAAGACUGCAUCAUAGUUCAACAUCUGUCAUUCUCUGCACUGUCCAGAUCAGAUGUGAUGCUGCAUGCAUCAUUUCUAAUGUGGAGGCCAAGUGGUCUGGGUCUGUUCAUGACUCCAGGAUUUAUGGAGAGUCUAACCUGAGCAACAGACUGCAGCGUGGAGAGUUUGAUGGCCUUCUGCUGGGUGACAGGGGUUACCAUGCCAACCCAGGCUGAUGACCUCAUACCCUGACCCUGAACCAGGCCCCCAACAGAACUUCAACCGGGCUCACUGCAGGACCAGAGCCCGGGUGGAGAUGACCAUAGGCCUGCUGAAAGCCCGUUUCCAGAGCCUACGUCUCCUCAGGGUGACCCCUGAGAGGGCCUGUGAUAUUACUGUGGCAUGUGUUGUUCUUCAUAAUAUUACCACUAUUAGAGGAGAGCAACACCCUGCCCUACAAACUGAAGACCCAGAUGAUGAGCCCAUCCACCUGCAGCUAUCCAGGACAGCAGAGCAGUCAGAGACACCGUAUGCAAUAAUCACGUUAGAGUUUAAGUCUCCAUCAUCACCACCACAGCAAAUAAAGACAUGAUACACAUUUCA